rnacentral:rRNA from 1 species
UACGUAGGGGGCAAGCGUUGUCCGGAAUCAUUGGGCGUAAAGCGCGUGUAGGCGGCCCGGUAAGUCCGCUGUGAAAGUCGGGGGCUCAACCCUCGAAUGCCGGUGGAUACUGUCGGGCUAGAGUGCGGAAGAGGCGAGUGGAAUUCCUGGUGUAGCGGCGGAAUGCGCAGAUAUCAGGAGGAACACCAAUAGCGAAGGCAGCUCGCUGGGACGGUACUGACGCUAAGGCGCGAAAGCGUGGGGAGCGAACAGG